UGGAAUGAGUACAAUCUAAAUCCCUUACGAGGAUCAUUGGAGGGCAAGUCUGGUGCCAGCAGCCGCGGUAAUUCCAGCUCCAAUAGCGUAUAUUUAAGUUGUUGCAGUUAAAAAGCUCGUAGUUGGAUUUCGGGUGGGGUGGUGCGGUCCGCCUCUGGUGUGCACUGCUCUGCUCCACCUUCCUGCCGGGGACGGGCUCCUGGGCUUCACUGUCUGGGACUCGGAGUCGGCGAGGUUACUUUGAGUAAAUUAGAGUGUUCAAAGCAGGCCUACGCUCUGAAUACAUUAGCAUGGAAUAACACGAUAGGACUCUGGCCUAUCUGUUGGUCUGUGGGACCGGAGUAAUGAUUAAGAGGGGUAGUCGGGGGCAUUCGUAUUCCGUUGUCAGAGGUGAAAUUCUUGGAUUUACGGAAGACGAACAUCUGCGAAAGCAUUUGCCAAGGAUACUUUCAUUGAUCAAGAACGAAAGUUGGGGGCUCGAAGACGAUUAGAUACCGUCGUAGUCUCAACCAUAAACGAUGCCGACUAGGGAUUGGCAGAUGUUCUUUUGAUGACUCUGCCAGCACCUUAUGAGAAAUCAAAGUUUUUGGGUUCCGGGGGGAGUAUGGUCGCAAGGCUGAAACUUAAAGGAAUUGACGGAAGGGCACCACCAGGCGUGGAGCCUGCGGCUUAAUUUGACUCAUCACGGGGAAACUUACCAGGUCCAGACACGGGAAGGAUUGACAGAUUGAGAGCUCUUUCUUGAUUCUGUGGGUGGUGGUGCAUGGCCGUUCUUAGUUGGUGGGUUGCCUUGUCAGGUUGNNN
rnacentral:ncRNA from 1 species